AAAUUUCCUUUCAAAUCUUCCCAUUUUCGAAAAGAUUUUGUUUUAUCUCUUCUAAAAACUCACAAACAAGGAAUUUUUAUUCUCCUUUCCAACAAAAAAAAAUUCACUUCAUUUUGGAACUCACAAAACACAGUGAGAUAAAGAGAGUUGUGAAAAAAAAUGAAGGUAAAAUAGGUAUUGAAUUUGGUCAAAUUAUCUUAUUUAAAAUGACUAAUAAGUCAUUUUUAGAAGUUAAAAAAAACUUGUAAAUCAAUUUGUAAGUUCAAAACUAAGCCAAAAACAAACACCCAAAUAGUAAACAAAACUUUAAUAACAAUUAGCAAUCAUGUCAUAUACUCCAUAAAAAAUCCGUC
rnacentral:lncRNA from 1 species